CAGAUAGAGGUGCGGUUGAGAUGAGUACCGCUGCUGCCGUAAGGCUUGCCGAAAAAGUGAUGUUCCCGACAUCAUGCAGCAGUGUGAAAGGUGAUACCGCCGAAGCGGACUGUGGGAUAGUCCAGCUGGCUGUUUGAUCUAACAGAUCACCGGUUGUCAUCAUAAUUAUGAUGGAGUGCUAUCG
rnacentral:ncRNA from 1 species